UUGAUUAGGAUUUAGGAUUUGAUUUAGGGUUUGAUUUAGGAUUUGAUUUAGAGUUUAGGAUUUGAAAUAGGAUUUGAUUUAGGGUUUAAUUUAAGAUUUGUUUAGGAUUUGACUUAGGGUUUAGGAUUUAUUAGGAUUUAAGAUUUAAUUAGAUUUGGUCCAAAGUUUGAGUAAAAUUCAAUAGGGUUUUAACUAGAAUUAAAUUAA
rnacentral:lncRNA from 1 species